UUCUUAUUGGAUGAUGACUGUCACGUGUCAUGUUGUGAUUGAAUGUCAACUCCAUGAAAGAUGAAAUGCAUUGUUGUUUUCAUUGAACAAUCAAAACAUGACACAUAACAGUCAUCAUCC
rfam:Glycine max cultivar Williams 82 chromosome 18, whole genome shotgun sequence.